rnacentral:pre_miRNA from 1 species
GUAUUACUCCCUCCGUUCGGAAUUACUUGUCGCGGAAAUGGAUGUAUCUAGAUGUAUUUUAGUUCUAGAUACAUCCAUAUCCGAGACAAGUAAUUUCGAACGGAGGGAGUAAUUU